UACGUAGGGUGCGAGCGUUAAUCGGAUUUACUGGGCGUAAAGCGUGCGCAGGCGGCCCGUUAAGACAGGUGUGAAAUCCCUGGGCUCAACCUAGGAAUUGCGCUUGUGACUGGCGGGCUCGAGUACGGUAGAGGGGGGUGGAAUUCCUGGUGUAGCAGUGAAAUGCGUAGAGAUCAGGAGGAACACCGAUGGCGAAGGCAGCCCCCUGGGCCUGUACUGACGCUCAUGCACGAAAGCUAGGGGAGCAAACAGG
rnacentral:rRNA from 1 species